rnacentral:rRNA from 1 species
CACGUAGGGUGCGAGCGUUGUCCGGAAUUAUUGGGCGUAAAGAGCUCGUAGGCGGUGUGUCGCGUCGGCCGUGAAAACCUGCAGCUUAACUGUGGGCUUGCGGUCGAUACGGGCAUCACUGGAGUUCGGCAGGGGAGACUGGAAUUCCUGGUGUAGCGGUGAAAUGCGCAGAUAUCAGGAGGAACACCGGUGGCGAAGGCGGGUCUCUGGGCCGAUACUGACGCUGAGGAGCGAAAGCGUGGGGAGCGAAUAGG